CAACAACAAGGGAAGUGGAGUGAAGGAUCACACACAGGUGUGGAGGGGGAGGAGCAACAACAACAAGGGAAGUGCCACAUGGGACAGUUAUAGGCUAACACAGUGAAGUAUGUUGCACAGUAUCACAGUUUAUAGGAAUGUUGAUUUUAAUUGAAUAAGCUUAAUUUACCAUUUCAGAUUUUUCCUAAAAGAUCUGUAUUGAGUUUGUAUCCACAACAUAAGAGGGUAAUUUAUUCCAAUUUUUACAAUGUUAGGCAAAGAAGCUGCCUUAAAUCUUUGUAAUGCAUCUACUUCCCACACGUUUCAUACCAUUAUUUCUUGUAUUGCCUUGCAUCUUAAAUAGUUCUUGUGUGGCUAUUGAAUUGUUUCAGUAGCUUGAAGAUUUUUGGUUAGGUCUCUGCUGUCUACACUUUCCACUUUUUCACUGAAAAUAAUUAUAACUCUUUGAGUCUUUUUUUUCAUAAUGCUUAUCCCACAAUUUUGAUGAGAGAGAGAGAGAGAGAGAGAGAGAGAGGGAGAGGGAGGGAGACAGACAGACAGACAGAGACAGACAGACAGCAACAGACUCGCGCAUGUGAACAAGCUCAAGAAUGAGCACAUACAUACAUACAUACAUUAGGUCAAGUCAUGUGUUUUGAAUAUUAGAGCAUUUAACAACACAAUAUCCAGAAUUUUAUUAUGUCCGUUGACUUGCAGGUUAGUAAAAUUAGGAAUGGUAACCACAUUAGCAUUUUCACACAAUAUUUUAUCCACUGAAAAUCUCCAUCUCUGAGAGAUGUUCCACUUGGAUGUUCCCUAAGGAAAGCUGACUGAAUGUCCCAGUGGAAAAGUUCGUGAUAUCUAAAGCAGGAUAAUAUACUGCACCAGUGCAGCAUGGUGAUAUACCACAUCUGUGCAGCAUGGUGAUAUAUCACAUCUGUGCAGCAUGGUGAUAUAUCACAUCUGUGCAGCAUGGUGAUAUAUCACAUCUGUGCAGCAUGGUGAUAUAUCACAUCCGUGCAGUAUGGUGAUACACAACACUAGCACAGCUGGUUAUAUACCACACUGACACAGCUGGUUUUCAGUUGUACACCAGUACAGCAGGGAUCUUUUGUUCCUGCUGUGUCAUAAUUGUGCUUGAGAGGUACUGGAAUAGAUCUUUAUUCUGCCUAGUGACCAAAGAAAGUACUCCUAAUAAUUCACAAAAACCUUUCAAAACCUAUACUUGGCAUUACAGGGCCAGUCAAUUAGUGACCUAACUCAGCUGAUAAUUUCCUGAUUAGAUAGUUCCACUGACUGCCACUAGAUGGUGGCACUAAAAUCAACACCAGGUCCCCAGUCAUGUCCAAUCACUUAACCUCCUGACCCAUGUCAGUGAUGAUUUGGGCAUGCUUGAGGCUAGAUCAAUUAAGUACUCUACUUGCUAUCAUUCUCAGAAACCUAUGGUACUAAUGACUCUGACUAGGACAGUGUGUAUGCAGUAUAUUUAAACAAAAUAAUGUGCCUCAUUAAAAAACAGUUGCAGUGAUGCAGAGUUCUCCUCCAUUCUAUUUUGGUUUGUGCUUUAGCCUUGACCUGUUGCUUUCAUGGUAUCUAGUUGGUUGGUUUCAGGACCUAGGCAUUUGUGUUUUCUACUUCUUCUUGGAUAUACUCAAUUAUCACUGUGCAGGCUGAGUCUUUGUUUACUGCCUCAAUUCUCACAGGUGACUAGUUUACUGGUCGUGACUCAGAUCAGGAAGCAGUAAACUACUUUUUAAUGCAGCCAGAUAGGAUGUCUUGCAGAGGUCAGUAGCUCAUACACUCACCCUCUCUGCUUCCAGCAUUGUAUCUGUUAGGUCACUAUCCAUCUUGGUUGUGUUCAGACUGCUGUGUGUGUGGGGGGGGAAGGGGGGCUUCAAAUCCUGCUCAAACAUUUGAUUUUGCAAUCCUCUUAUAAACGGCUGCUAGAUAUUUAUGACAUUCACGUAAAUACUUGUGCUUGUCAACUCAGCCUUAGCAGUGCUUUCACUGGAUUCUCUGUUUUUAGAAUAUCAUUUAGUUCAUUUGGUCCAGUCUACUGUAAUUGAAUCCUCAAACACUGGUAAAGACUUCACUUGAAUCUCACUUUUGAAUACUUAGGCUUCUUUUGUUUUAGCAGGUAAAGGUUCGUCUUGCAAACCCCAUCCUCUUGCUAUGGACCUUUAGUAACUGCAAUCUUUGCCCAGUGUGUUAUGUUGUGUGCUGAAUUAGACUUAGGGCCAUAUACUGUUAUCAGUUAAUUCAUGUAGUAUGUGUAUUAUUUAUUUGCAUGUGUGUGUGUGUUACGUUCAUUUGUUAGCAUAACUCAGGGAGCAAUAGGAGGAGCUAAUGGUAUAAUUUUCACCCUUUUCUCGUGGAGCCCCUUGUGGUUCCCUGAAGCUACUACACUGAUACAGUGCCAUACUACUGUUGCUAUCAGUCGCAGAGUUCUUAUUGGUCAACCGGGGACCACGAGCCAGAACUUGGCCCCCUCAGAGAAAGGCACAGGGAGCAAUGGCACUAUUGAAAACUUUUAUGUAAAGUCAUUUAUGUCUGUCACCACCAAGGGAAGGUAGCCAGAAAGUCAGCGAAGCAAAACAAACUACUGCUUGGUUAGAAACAAGAUCACAGCCUCGUAACCUGGGCGCACUACACCCAAUCACCCUUCCCCCCCCCCAGAUGAGGGUAGCACUAAUGAGCGAGAGUGCUAGUUGUAUGAAGUGUUGCUCGUUGGGUCUCUUUCUAGGGAAGUUAUUUUGAUCUUUUAGAAUGUAGAUUGCACAAGUUAGCCAGACAGUGGUCUCUUUUGAUUCGCCUACCUUUCUGGGUCCUUUCUCGGUCGAUGGUAAUUAUGACAGACUUUAAAUGUAAAGUGUUCAUGGGCCAUUGCUCCCUGUGCCUCUCUGAGGGGACCAGGUUCUGGCUCGUGUUCCCUGGUAGGCAUAAGGACGCCUAUGACUGAUGAACCCAAACUAAUAUAGCACAUAUCAGUUCAAAUAGCUUCAGGGAGCCUCCCCAGAAAAUGACAUUUCAUUACAUUCAAUGCUGGUUUUUAUCAUAGUUUGGUGGGGGAAGUGUAUUCAUUUUCUUCUCUGGUGUUGGAGUCCUUGUCCCCAGAAACCAUGGAUUGAAACUGGCUUAGUUGCAGAGUUCAGCUGUUGGUCGUCCUCCUUUCCUGGGUAAUGAAGCAUCUCAACUUGAAGCAUUCUUAGAGGUCUUGGCCUGGUUAACAUUUUACCCUUUUGUUGGAGUCAGUUUCCAAAUUUAACAGUUCAUUUCUCCAGAUUGGGGGUAUUGUUUAUGAACCAACCUGGUUCGAAUACAUCUUGAUGCUUUUUUUAUUUCUACAUCAAGUCCAGUUCAUCACUCCAUUAGUAGCAAAUAAUGUUUAAGUACUCCAAAGUUCUGCCUGUCACCUCUCUGCUGUUCAGGUUUGAGGAGACUUGAAUCUUUUCCUCUUGAGGGUUGAAGGCUGGGUUUCUGAACCUGACCCUGCUUUGCUUUAGGUUGUUCAGCCCGUCUCUUGACUGGCAGACAAUCUUCAGUUUAUCUGGGGAAAUUUUUUAUUUCUGUAGGUCCACUGUUCUUGAGUGAAAUUAGGCAUCACAUCUUCCAUGUGAGCUUGGUGGGUGACAAUGUUGAUGUUUUAAAGUCUUUUAUGCCCCCAUUUCCAGAUUUAUUGGGAUUGGUUCUCUAGGAGCUUUGUCUCCUAGGGAUGAAUGUUUUGUUUCUGCUCAAUAGGCCAACUCCUUAGCUUCAGUCUUCACAGUGUCUUUUGUGGCUGGGGGGUGCUGUAGGACGUCAAGGCUUCCUAUGUUUCUCUUUUGGAAACCACCUUACAACAGCUUGUGUACAAUCUCUUGAUAUGUUCUGGGUUUGCACUGAAUCUUAUUUAAGCUUGAGUAAUACUUUAUUUAGCAUGAAAAUUGUUUUCUUAAUGCUUGUAUAAUGUUUAUUUUAAACAUAUAAGUAUAUAUCUGAAAAACAGGAUGAAACUGAGAAUAGACAAGAAAGAAUAAUGUUGGGAACCAAGCUAGAUAAAUACAAAAAUAGGUGAGUUUGAGACAAUUGUCAGACUGCCACAUGGCUCUGAAGUGUGAAUUAUACAGCAGACAAGUGCCACUGCCUGCACAGUGUUUGCAUUGUGACGUUGGUACCAUAGGAGACCAAUGAUUUCUUCUUGAUCAUCCUUAUGCAGUCAAACCAUGUUGGGUUUUGGAAAUAAGCUUCUGAUAUUCACUAGGAGUUAUAUCUAGUUCUAGCCAGCUGUUUUUUAGAAUGUAGGCCUCCACUUGAGUCCUUCACAACUUCAACUCUGCUCUUGGUUACUACUAAGAAUAUUUCCUUGUUCCAGGCUCUCUCUAAUACAGAGAGAUGUUCAUUAUGCUGCCACUUUCUGGAUCUUCUUUCUUGUGGAAGUGCAGCCUGGGUGCAUCUGUAGAAUGGUCUCAUUGGCAACUUUCCUUUUCUUGCUCGAGUUUCCCAGGGAAAACUGUUUUAUAUUUCUAAUGUGACCAAAUAAUAAUAUAUUUUUGUUUACCUGUAAACCUCCCGUGUUGUUUAAAUUUGGUUUAAAAUAUUUUCCAGUACAGUAUACCCAUGUCUCCACUGGUUUGUCAUAAAAACCCAGUUGUUUACAGAUAUCUACCCAAUUGAGGAAGGUUGUGGUUUCCUAUUUGUUUCCCUUUGGUACAGACUUGCCUUGAGGGAGGGAGCAAGACAGCUCGUGCUUUUGUUUCAUGCAAAGGGUAGUUGAGUGUGGGCCAUGAGAUCCCACUUCUGGCUGACAAGUAAGUCAGAGUCUACUGAUAUGAAUUGGAUUACAAUGUAGAAUUCGAGAAUACACAUAGAACCAAGUUUCGUAAUCUUGACCUGACGGCUACUGUAAUAAAACAGGCAGAGCUCAGUUGGCACGUUUUUUAAUUUGAUGUCAUUGACCCCUUAAUACAGUACUUGAUCUUGACUACAUGUCUCAGAAGCCUGACCUUGGGCCUCUCCCUGAUCUCCCCAUAGGAUUUCUUCCACAGCAACAUCUGAAGGUAGAGGGUAUUGUAUUAUUCACGAGGUGGACAACGCAUUCUCAAUGAACACUUUUGCCCAUUUCUUAAACUUUGAUGAAAUUAUUGAAACUAUAUACCCCCACUAUCACAAAGCCCAAACAUUGAUAUAUAAAUUCAAGCGUGUUAUGUAAAAAUACUUGUUUAAAUUUUUCAUGUUGUCUUUGGGCCACAAACUUGAACAAGUGUACUUGACACUUUUUCACUAUAUUUAUACUUGACACUAUACUUUGUUCAAGUACACGUAAAUCAUUUGGAUGAUUGAUCGAGAAUUGACAAUUUUAAAUAACUCCUCGAGUUACUUCGGUCAGUAGACACAGAUGUUACUUUCUACUAGCAGUGUACUAGAACAUGUAUGAUGGAAAUACAGUUCAAAGAAUAUGCAGAAUGUUUUGCUUGAGUCUUUGCAGAGCCGGCUGUACUGGAUGGCCUUAGCUCCUGAGCUGUGUGCAGGCGAUAAGUCACAAUAACGUGGCUAAAGUAAGUUGACCAGACCACACACUAGAAGGUGAAGGGACGACGACGUUUCGGUCCGUCCUGGACCAUUCUCAAGUCGAUUGUGACUUGAGAAUCAACUUGAGAAUGGUCCAGGGCGAACCGAAACGUCGUCGUCCCUUCACCUUCUAGUGUGUGGUCUGGUCAACAUCCUGAGCUGUGUGCUGCAGCUGUUGAAGAAGGAUGCAUACAUAAAAAAUUGAUAGGAUAUCCACAGCUCCAGUGCUGCUGGGCAUCAUAGACAUUUUUGUUUUUUCCAAGCUUGGAGUAGCUAUCACUUUUUUUUUUUUUAACAAAUUCAGCUGUAAGAAUGAUUUUUUUUUUUUUUUUUUUUUUUUUUUUUUUUUUUUUUUUUUUUUUUUUUUUUUGACAUUAUGGAAAUGGUAUGAGCCAAGUAAGAAACGUUUGAGGCCGGGAAAGUGCGACACAUGACAUAUGGAGAUGAACACAUAAUAAAAUAGGAUUGUUAUUGUAACGUGUUAAGUUACGAAAUGUCCAAAAUUCAUUUGAUGAAAUGUAAAAAAAAAGUCAAAGGUGAUUUACUUUCCAAAGUGCUAAAACUGCCAAAUCCGAAAUCAGAAUUUAAUUGUAGUAUUUUUUAUUAUGAUUUGAAAUUUACAUGAAAAGGCAAUAAGAUUUAUUCAGGUUAGAAGGAUAUGUAUGAUAGCUGAUUCAUUAUAAUUAUGCAAUGCUAUCUGUGGUUGUGAACGUUGGUGUGAGAGAAAACGUUGUGUCAGUCUGUUGUGGGUUAUUGUGCUAUAUAUAUUUAGUAACUGGACCUCAAGCCACCUUGACAGAAAUAAUUGUUCUCUAAAAUUAAUAGCAUUUUGGGCUAAGUUGAUAACAGGAUAUAAAAUUAAUUUAAAUGGUACUGUAGUACAAUAUAUUGAAUUAAUCCAUGAAACUACAUGAACAAUAGAUUCUUUUCUGGGCUCAGCAUCAGUUCUUGUUGCAUUCUCUAUGAAGUCUGUAAUUGUUUUGGUCCAGGUAGAUCAUCUGUUGCACACCAAUGCAAUAUAUCUACAAUUUUGUUUAACUUCACAUAUAUACAGUACAGUACUGUAUAUCCAAACCUUUGAUGCAUUAUUUUUUGCAAAUAAGGAAUUUCUAUCUUAUCAAUUGGUCCAAAAUUUUUCUUUUUUUAUGAUGUUCCUUGCCACAUUUUCUAUAAAUAAGAUGUUAGUUUAACAGUUUUAAUACAAAAACUAUAAUGUAGAGUGAAUACUAUUUGUAUAUAGUGUCAACAUGUAUGAAAAGUAAGAAUUUAUUUGUGAUGAGUAGAAACAGUAAAGGUACAGUACUUUAUACAAAGUCUUUGUGGAGCCAAAAAGUGCAUCUUAAAACUAUUAGCGGCUGAGUAAAUAAUUACAUUAUACAUGUGUGUUGUAAAUGACCGUAAUGUGUAUUUUGACUUGUGUUUGCCUGAUACAUAUACUGUACUUAAUGCACAUGACAAUGUAAAACUAAGUUUAGAUGUCUGUGAAUGACUGUGGUGUUUGAUUUGCCUAGAGGUCAUAGCACUACGUAUAUGCUUCAAGAUAUGUAGCACUUUACAGGAUGCUGUAAAGAAGCAGGACUGAUGGUCAUUUUAUUAUUUCCAGUGUUCAUUUAGAAUAUACAUAUGAAGUACUGAAGUCAUUACUUGCUAUUGAGUGUUCUGUCACUUGUUACAAAGAAAAUGUGUUUUGAAAUCAACAGUCUAUUAUUUGUUUUUGAAACUUGUACAGUAAUUAUAUAAUAUCCAUUGUUGCCUUUAAGUGUUCUGUCAAAUUAAUGAGUAAUUUUGUAUAUUUUGCGAUAUGUAGAUCCUUGUAGACAUAAAUGAAGACUAUUAUAUGUGGACUGCAAACUUCUAGUUGAGACAGUUUACGAGAAUGUAAGGAAUGACAACUGUUUGUAAAUCUGGCCUAUCUUAUAAAUAUCCCAUGUUGGCUUUGUAAGAUCUGUUGCAAAUUAUUAUGAAUAUAUUGUAAAUAAGCUUGUAUAUGGAGAAUAAAUAAUAAAUUAUUUAAGCAAA
rnacentral:lncRNA from 1 species